rnacentral:rRNA from 1 species
UACGGGGGGGAGCAAGCGUUGUUCGGAUUUACUGGGCGUAAAGGGCGCGUAGGCGGUCAGCACAAGUCAGUUGUGAAAUCUCCGGGCUUAACUCGGAAAGGUCAACUGAUACUGUGCGACUAGAGUGCAGAAGGGGCAACUGGAAUUCUCGGUGUAGCGGUGAAAUGCGUAGAUAUCGAGAGGAACACCUGCGGCGAAGGCGGGUCUCUGGGCCGUAACUGACGCUGAGGAGCGAAAGCAUGGGGAGCGAACAGG